AUGCAAACAGCAAGAGGAUUUUUAUUCCGAGCGCGCUGGGGCCCACAGUCGUACGCCACGCAGGGGUAGAGGACUGCGGCCCCGAGUGUGGAGUCAGGACAGCUUUUAUGGGGUUCAUAACAAAGCCCGCGCUUUUACAAACUAAUCAUUUUUAAAAUAUCGCAAACCAGUCAAUUCAAAACUUCGAGAGCCCGGGCUUUGUGGACCAAUUAAUUUUAAGUUGUUCUGGAGUUACAUGUUUGUGCCUGUCUCUGGGUGGGGGAGACAUAUUGUCACCAAGAUAUAUUUAUCAGGAUUUUCAACAUUUUGUGGCACGCCCGAUCUUACUGGGGUCGGUUAGGCGAUUGACUUCUCCUCUUUUUAUCUUAUGCAAGCAGGUUUACAGAAGCCAAACAAGCAGUUAGGAGCAGUUUCAAGAAGUUUCAAGCAUAGAGGCACAUACUCAGGGGCCUGUUUUUCCCCUUCCACAAAGUUUUGUACAGAGCAGAAAGCAAGCCCUAAAACAGCAAAAAGUAUGAUCUUUUACCUAUAGGGAACAGGGUCUGGAAUUCGAGGGCAUUUAGAGCUUCUUAUUAACUUCCUGGGUUCUGGGAGAGUCAGGUUGCAUUUUCAUCCUUUCAGACAUAACCCCCUGUGACUCAGUUUACGGGAAGAAAAGGGCAAAGAAACCCUGAGACUUAGGGGACAUGUCCACCCCUAAGACCCCUAUUGAACAAGCACUAAUAGAGGUAACUGGGCAAGGGCAAUGGGAGAAAACCACAGCUUUCUGGACCUCAUAUUGGUAACCCCCAUCUUUAUGGGAUUAAAAACACCUAUAGGACAAUAGAGAGGGGGACUCAUCUUCCCCCUCCCAGCUGUCCUGGGAGCUGUUUGCUUUCCUGUAAUAAAGACUUUGCUUGCUUGCUGCCUGUGUGUUCUCAAAAUUCAUUCUUUGGCUCUGUGAACAAGAACCUGGAUUUGGUAACAUCUUUCUGGCAUCAAUACCAUAAUUGGUAAUGACACAUGUAUGAAGAAAAUGCACAGGUUGUUCCUGUUGUGGCUCAGCAGUCACAAACCUGACCAGUACCCAGGACCUGGCUUGAUCCCUAUACUCGCUCAGGAGGUUAAGGAUCUGGCAUUGCCACGAGCUGUGUGUGGUGUAGAUCACAGAUGCAGCUCAGAUCUGGAGUUGCUGUGGCUGUGGCUAGGCUGGCAGCUGUAGCUCUGAUUCAACCCCUAGCCUGGGAACCUCCAUGUGUGGCCCUAGAAAGUAAACAACAAAAAAAAAAAGUUGGGGUAAGAGAGAAUUCACUGUCUCUGCCUGACUGCUCUCAAACGAGGGCAUUAGUCUUCUGCUUCUGGACUGGAACUUACACUUUUGGUUCUUCAGAUUCUCAGGACUUUGAACUCAUUCUGGAACUACACCACUGGCUCUCCUGGAUCUCCAGCUUACAGACACAUCAUGGACUUCUCAGCCUCCAUAAGCAUGUAAGCUAAUUCCAUAUAAUACAUUUCUUUAUAUCUACUCAAACAAAUACUAUUAGUUCUCUUUCUCUGGAGAACCCUGAUACAGUGGUAAAGAGGAAGUGAUGAUUUCUAGGGUCAGCGAUAUUCAGUGACCUUUCUAAGAUAUAUUGACCAUAAUGAGAUGAGAGGUAGGAGUCAGAAAUCUUUAAAGUAGGCUGUUCCAACAUUCAACACUACUAUAUAACUAUAAAUGAAAGAGUUGAAGGGCCGUAAAAUACCUUGACUAUCAGCCCACUAUUGACUGGCUUUAGCAAUAAAAGUCAGACUGUAUACAGACCAAAAAAAAGAACCCCAAAACACAAAGCAGAGGAGUUCCCAUUGUGGCGCAGCAGAAACUAAUCUGACUAGGAACCACGAGGCCUCGCUGAGUGGGUUAAGGAUCCAGCGUUGCCAUGGGCGGUGGUGUAGGUCACAGACAUGGCUUGAAUCUGGUGUUGCUGUGGCUGUGGCUAGGCUGGCAUCUGUAGCUCCAAUUGAACCGGUAGCCUGCGAACCUCCAUAUGCUGUGGGUGUGGCCUUAAAAAAGCAAAACAAGGAGUUCCCGUCGUGGCGCAGUGGUUAACGAAUCCGACUAGGAACCAUGAGGUUGCGGGUUCGGUCCCUGCCCUUGCUCAGUGGGUUAACGGUCCGGCGUUGCCGUGAGCUGUGGUGUAGGUUGCAGACGCGGCUCAGAUCCCUCGUUGCUGUGGCUCUGGCGUAGGCCGGUGGCUACAGCUCCGAUUCAACCCCUAGCCUGGGAACCUCCAUACGCCGCGGGAGCGGUCCAAGAAAUAGCAACAACAACAACAACAACAAAAAGACAAAAAGACAAAAAAUAAAUAAAUAAAUAAAUAAAAGCAAAACAAAAAACAAAGCAUGAAGCAGACUGGUUUCAAGACCAAAAUGGUGUGGUCAGAGCUGGAUGAGUGGACUAGAAUGACACUGUAACCUGAAAAAGUGUCGGCAGUGGUGAGGCACUACUGAGAUCUAGAGCCAAAGGUCUGAUACAGUCAAUAAGCCAGGAGACGGGGGGAGGCCAUGCCUUGUGCUCGUGGCCUCACUCAAGGGUAGACAAACAGGAGUCAUAAGCCUGGCAUGCAGUGGUAGCCUCUGCGUCGGAAGCAUAAGCUUUUCAGCUUUGUGCCUAGGCUGCGAUGGUGCGUGUGAUGCCAUGUCAGGUGUGAUGAUGGGUCCAGGCAACAAUGGUAGAUACCUGGGUGGUACAGGAAGCUUGAUUAUAGUUGGUCUCAUCAAAGAAAGUGUCCUCUUUGAAUAAGCCAUGAAUGACCCAGACAAUUCAAUUAAUAGCUGUAAUUCACUUCUACUUUGGGGCCCCGAGGAAGAGUAUCUUGGACAGUCUGCAAUCUUCUAAGUGAAAGACUAAAAGACCCGGUCACUGGCAACAGCCCCAGAAUCAAUAAAAAUGACAACCUAUCCAGGUCCUAGGAAUAUUGUCUAAGGUAAGGGUGGCAGUUUUCAAUACAGCCCUUUGUCCUGAUCAAGCCCUCAGCAUAGUCAGUCUUCCAGAAUUCUCACUGGGCGCCAAAAGCUUGCCGCUCAGCCAGACCAUCAGUGAACCAGGCCCUUGGAGAAGUCUCUGAACCAAGGGGCCCAGUGAGCUAGUAGCUUUGCUUCACACAGCCAGGAGGGGAAUACCUUUCCUCUGAAGGAAUAGCUGUCAUUUUUCAUGGAAAACUAAGAUGCUGAGGCUGGCCACAUCCCAGCCAUUUCCACUUGACUAGGCAACUGCUGGGCUUUCUUGUUAGUUGUCAAAUCUGAGUUGAUAUGGCUUCCAUGGGUCAAAUGUUUGGUUUCAGCAAGAGCUCUGUAAUAGCCUAAUCGUAAUUCCUUUUUUAUUUGGUAUUUGCAAAAAUACACCGUUGUACUGGGAAGUGGCCUGAGUGCUCCAGCAGUCACCAAGUUUGCAACUAAAGCUGUGAUUUUCAUUUCUUUCUUCUCAGAAUUCCAUAUUGUUUUUUUUUGGUGGAAGACUCAAGAGGAGACAGAGGCCACUUCUCUCUAUGCAGAGGUAGUCCCUGAAUGGGAGACUUAGAGCAUUCACAGUUCAAUCAAAUGUACAACUGACGGCAGUAACACACGGAUGUGAAAGCCACAAAAUAUUAGUACGCUGAAUCCGUUUAGAGGGUCCCCCUACAGCUCAUUUUAAUUUUCCUUUCCUAUUGCAAAUUUUGUCCAAACCCCACCAGAAUUCAGGCACUUUCUCCUCCUCCAUGGGAAGCCAAACCAAGCAGUUUAAAAUAGGCAGGCUGCAGGCUAUAGCCAUUGUGAGACUAGGACUCUCCCAGCCAAGAGUGUGGGGACAUCACAGGAGUGGGAGGAGCCAGCCUACAGGGGCAGCUGGGUCAGUGAAAAGGCCUUUUCUCCUGACUCCUGCUCGGGGAUCAGUGCUGCCUCUUCCCUACUUCUUGGCUCUUACAUGCACCUGUGGCUCAGGGAUGCUAUUUUGUUUGGAGCCCCCACCCCCACCCCCCACACCACACCACUGUGGAUCUGCCCCCAGUCCUUGGCACUUACGACCAUUCCUAUGCCCAGGGUUCCCUGUCCUCAAGCGACAAAGUAGUAUGGUGACUUAGAUGCUUAUAUUCAAUUGUGUUAUAAAAGGGGAAUCCCUCCCCUCCUCAAAGAUCCCCCCACAUACCCCGCUUCUUUCCUUAAAGCAGGAGAAGGAGUGGGAGGGAUCAGGUCAUGUACUUACUUUUGUUUCAGGUAGUCACCUGCUUGGACUGAACAAACUCUCAGGAUUUUUGGUCCAUUCAAAGCUCUAUAUCCUAACUGCUGACACCACUUACUUCACUUUUGGGGCACCCUUUCCUCAUCAAUCACAACCAUUCUGCUACAUACCUGGGGCCACAGGCUCGCUGCCUCAUUGUCAAAACAUCCUUUCCUUCUCCUGCACCAAGGAGAACGAGCAACAACCUAAGUACCAGCUGGGCAGUGUUUCAGUCCUACCUCCUGCUGCUUAGUCUCAGAACAUUAAUAUGCAAGACAGCCAAGGACCCUUACUUCCCUCCUCACUCAGCAGUAUUUGCUACCAGACCCCAAAUUAUCUUCUCAAAUCCUCACCUGGCCCAUGACCUUUCUCUUCUGGAAAGGCUUGUCAGGAUACCAUCCCUUUUACCAAAUCGUCAAGAGUAGUGCAUGAAGGGUCUCGAAUUUCAUCCUACUUGCAAACUAACAGGUUAACUUAUUAUUUUUUCAUGGAUAUUGGCAGAUGACAUGAGACUCCGGAUCAGAGACAAAGAACUUUAUUACUUAGAGCGCAGCAAGCAGUAAGAAGCACCUUUGUGCCAGUUCCCAUCCCCGCUCCCCAACAAAAGCGUCACGGGUAGGUCUAGAUGGAUGCCUCAACCUGCAGUGGGUUGUGUCACAGGAAAAAAAACUCUGAGCUUAAGGGAGUCAGCACUUUCACAGUAAAGAGUGGGCCAACGUGCUCCCAGGGAAGAGACGUGACCUCCUCUCUCCAGGUUGCUAACUACCAACACAACACUGAGUUACGGCCCAGGCAAAGAGUGGGCAGGCUCUCGAGUUCACACAAAGCAAGAACGUGCAGGGAUGCUCAGGGCUCUUGGCCGACUGCCUCUCCCAAGGCUUUCUCCUUCUCCAGGGGGUCACCUGCCACAGCAUUAUAAACCAAGUCCCGGGCACUAAGAGCCUGGACACUAUUUGAUGGUUUCCCAGAAAAGUCUGUCAGUCACAGGGAAAUAUUCCCAGAGCCAAAGCUCCCUUACAGCAGCCAAGACCCACUGCAAAAAAAUUCUGACACCUUUACUACUGCCUCUGAACGGAUCUAAAGCUGGCGUGAUAAACUAUGGGAAGAGGCUGGCUACAAGACAACCUACCAUUGCCACCCCUCCUCACCCGAGCCAACCAGCCCAAGUUCUAACAGUUCACAUGGUUUCUGUGCACAGAGGUAGGGACGCCCCUCCUUUCACGCUUGUGCAGGUGUGUCUCUGUCGGGAAGCAGGAGGAACCUGCUGUCCACCUGGGAUGAACACUAGCGUCCGCAGUUUCAAUGGGUGGAUGACUGCUCGAUUACUGAGGAAGUCCUCCUGCUCAGAGGAGACAGCACCAUCGAGCAGCUUCUGAGCAACUCCCAGUACUAAGAGCCCACAACCACCUCCCCAAUCCUCAUGAACAGGCAAUAAUGUGUUUAAAACAUUAUUUUGAGAAGCAGGUCAUAGACAACACCCGACUGGCGUGAAAGAUCCAUGGCAUAAAAAAAGGUUAAGAAUCCUUGUCAGUUAUUCUUGAAGAGGUUGUGGAUAUCAGCGGAGUUAUCUGAGCACGUGUGCUUUCAGGCUAGUGAAGAAUAUUCUAUUUAAAAACAUUAGGGGCUGUCAGUGGGGACAGGAUAUAUUUUUACAAAAAAUACUGUGGUAUUAGCAGUUUUCUGAUAACUUCCAACAGGGAGACAGGGUUUGGGUCAGGGAGGAGAGGUGUCUAGUCAUGGGUGGAGACACGGUAGAAAGUUGGAAAGAGAAAGCUCAAAAUUGAGUAGAAACCUGGGACUCAAGGAGAAAUACAACUUGGGUGUAUUCAAAGGAACUUUUACAUUUUCUUCCAUUCCUUAACAUUGUUCUGAAGCAAAAAGAGUUGUUUCUAAAGAUAUAGGAAAACACGAAUUAUCAAACACACAUUAGCAGCUCAAAUUUGCAAAUGCAAAUGAAAAACAGCUGUCUUUCCCCACUCUCUUCUGCAUUCUUAAACAUUUGGAAGACUUAAGUCCACCCUAGACAGGUGUGAGGAGUAGAGAAACAGGAGGAAAAUUCGACGGAUGUCAGGGUUUCCUGGUGAGAGGGGGGCUGCAGACCUACUAAAAAGAGUUAAGAAUAGCCCAGCAACAUUCAGAACUGGCUGGAGUGACCACUCGGUUAAAACGUGUCAAAACCCAGCCAGAGGGGCUCUGCAGCUUUACCAAGGGCACCCACACUGAGGCUUGAGCACAUUCAAGUGAUGGGAAACUGUCCUGAAAUCCCGUAAUUGGGAAGGUGGGGUGGUGGGGGUACUGCAAGAGGACCAUGUGGCUGGACUGCUAACCCACUUCUUUAUUUAUCAAAUUGAUACUGCCUUAACUGGUUACUGGAAUCAGGGAAAAACCUUCAGCGAUCCAUACAGCCUAAGAAAUUUCCAAGUGGGGCUUAUGGGCAGAUUUAAGGGAUUACAGGAUUCAUAUUUGAUUAAAACAUUCAUCAGAAAUGUUUUUAUAUGUGGGCAUUUCAAGGGGGUUAAGGAGCCUCCAUAAUCUGAAAGUAUACAUAUCUGAAACCUCUUUGACAGGUUCAGACACUUAGUCCUAGAAAAUGAAUGAGAUUUGCCCAAGGUCACAAAUUAGAACAGAGCUAGAAACAGCCCAGGUCUUUUGUCUCUCACUUGAGGACCUCUUUACCUGCCCCCAACUCUCCCAAACCAAUUUCCUUCCUUGGGAUAGUGAAAAACUAAACUACAGACAAACAUAUCAAGUAAUAGGGAAAUAGUUAAAACUAUUUCUACUAUGGAAUACUAUGCAGCUAUUAAAAAUGCAUGUGACCUAUGUAUAGUGAC
rnacentral:lncRNA from 1 species